rnacentral:rRNA from 1 species
GAUGAACGCUGGCGGCGUGCUUAACACAUGCAAGUCGAACGGGAAUUACUUUAUUGAAACUUCGGUCGAUUUAAUUUAAUUCUAGUGGCGGACGGGUGAGUAACGCGUGGGUAACCUGCCUUAUACAGGGGGAUAACAGUCAGAAAUGGCUGCUAAUACCGCAUAAGCGCACAGAGCUGCAUGGCUCAGUGUGAAAAACUCCGGUGGUAUAAGAUGGACCCGCGUUGGAUUAGCUGGUUGGUGGGGUAACGGCCCACCAAGGCGACGAUCCAUAGCCGGCCUGAGAGGGUGAACGGCCACAUUGGGACUGAGACACGGCCCAGACUCCUACGGGAGGCAGCAGUGGGGAAUAUUGCACAAUGGGGGAAACCCUGAUGCAGCGACGCCGCGUGAAGGAAGAAGUAUCUCGGUAUGUAAACUUCUAUCAGCAGGGAAGAUAGUGACGGUACCUGACUAAGAAGCCCCGGCUAACUACGUGCCAGCAGCCGCGGUAAUACGUAGGGGGCAAGCGUUAUCCGGAUUUACUGGGUGUAAAGGGAGCGUAGACGGUGUGGCAAGUCUGAUGUGAAAGGCAUGGGCUCAACCUGUGGACUGCAUUGGAAACUGUCAUACUUGAGUGCCGGAGGGGUAAGCGGAAUUCCUAGUGUAGCGGUGAAAUGCGUAGAUAUUAGGAGGAACACCAGUGGCGAAGGCGGC